GGACCUUUUCUACUGGAGAACAAGCCCUUUCUGAGCAUACGUAUAAGGUGGAAAAUGGGAUAACAACUCACAUAUCCUAGGUUCGGUUAAAUACCCUUGCUAAUUUCCCUAAUUUUGACCCUAGUCUUUCUUCUCCUGUUUCAGAAAAUUUUGACGCAAGGAGUAAGGUCUCUAGGUCACCAGGAAUUUUGGAAAAUAAUAAAGUGUGCUUAAAUCCAGUGUUUGAAGGACCUGAGAGAGUAGAGGUUCAGAUGACUGACGGUAUUCUUGAUCCCAGAAAGCACUCUGCGGUAACUUUUAAAGACAAUUUGCGUUCAAAUCAGAAAGUUAUGGGAGUGGGUGUUGGUACUUCAAGCUCUAAGGAUAAAAAAUAAUAAUUAGAGGUAGAAAAAGCAGUGGACGUGGUUGUUGGAAACCGUCUAUUGCACUACGGGGUCAUGAAAAUCGAUUCAAAUCCUCUGGGAAUACCCGGGUUCCCUUAACAGAGUCUAUGAAGGCGAUGGUGGAGCUCCUUUCGGCCCAGGUUUCUAACGAAGUAGCGUGGAUGCUUCGGAAGUAGCAUCUUCGACUGUGGAAGGGUUUACUGUCGAGAGACAAUAAGAGUAUGGUUUCGUUUUUUCUUUUUAUUAAUUAAUGAAUUUUACAAAUUUUUCUUAGAAUUACCAGAAUUGCUUGUCCAUGAUCAUUUUCUUUUAGUUGGGUUUUAUGUGUUUUUGAAUGGGUG
rnacentral:lncRNA from 1 species